AUUGAACGCUGGCGGCAUGCCUUACACAUGCAAGUCGAACGGCAGCACGGGAGCAAUCCUGGUGGCGAGUGGCGAACGGGUGAGUAAAGUAUCGGAACGUGCCCAGUCGUGGGGGAUAACGUAGCGAAAGUUACGCUAAUACCGCAUACGAUCUAUGGAUGAAAGCGGGGGAUCGCAAGACCUCGCGCGAUUGGAGCGGCCGAUAUCAGAUUAGGUAGUUGGAGGGGUAAAGGCUCACCAAGCCGACGAUCUGUAGCUGGUCUGAGAGGACGACGAGCCACACUGGGACUGAGACACGGCCCAGACUCCUACGGGAGGCAGCAGUGGGGAAUUUUGGACAAUGGGCGAAAGCCUGAUCCAGCCAUGCCGCGUGCAGGAUGAAGGCCUUCGGGUUGUAAACUGCUUUUGUACGGAACGAAAAGGUUUGGCCUAAUAAGCUGAGCUCAUGACGGUACCGUAAGAAUAAGCACCGGCUAACUACGUGCCAGCCGCCGCAGUAA
rnacentral:rRNA from 1 species